UAAAGCGAAAUUCCAAGUCCAAAGUGUUUUUCUGGUCAGAUUUCAUUGCUGUUUCCUCAGUGGCUCCAGAGGUUUCAAGCGCAAAGUCGGAGCUUAAUAAAUCCUGUGAGAUGAACAGGCGCAGUCAGCCUCUUUCGUUGAAAUCUUUUAGAAAUCAAAUCAGUCUCCUCCAACCGGCCCCAGCGGAGCGCGGCUACCGCCGCCGGCCGACUCAGCUGGCCCCGCCGCUCCCCGGCCUGCACCCUGCUCUGGCAGCUGCUGUCCGCAGCAGCCGGAACGUUUCUGCCAGGCUGCAGCGCUCUGCGGAAGAGCUUCAGCGGCGCGCUUCUAGGCGGGCGGCGCUUCCGGCGGAGAGUCGUUCGCGUCGGGCCGGUGAGUCCGCACGUGCAGCUGGGGUGUGCCCUGGCCCGGCGGGCGGGAGGUUGGGCGAGACGCCUGGGAGGCUGUCGGGCGGAGGACCGGCCGACUUGGCCUGGCUGGCCCAGUAGGGAAGUACUGUGGCAGGGAGCGCGGAAGGUGGCGAAGGACGCGCAGGGCCGCGGACGCGGACGUGGUUCCGCCUGGGGCCCAGCGCGAGGACUGGAAUGGUGGUCGGGGUGCGAGCCCUCUUCUGGGCUGGUUCUGUGGCAGCGGUUGAGUUGCCCACCUCGGAGCCCUGAGUUCGCACUUGGCGGGCAGGCCCAGUGCUAACUUGCCUCUUUUAUCAGCGAAUGCCUUCCCGAGGGCGGUGCUGGGUGCCGCUCACGUUGCUUUGCAGAUACCAUUUCAAUCUCGUCCAACAAAAUAACUGAACACUACGUGUCCUUUUUUUUUUUUUUUUUGAUGUGCAGGAUAAAUACUGAAAAUAGGACAGUGUUUAGUCACUGUGUACUAUGCUACCAUGUGCGGAAUAGCACAAAUGUUAAACUUACUGUCAUUUCUAGUUUUUCAGGUUGUUACAGCAGAUCACCAAAUUCCUGAAAGAAAUUAAUUUCUUACAGUGUGUGGUUUGUUAAUUCAGUGGAAAAUGUUCGGAAUUUUAGCUAAUAACAUCUGAUUAUAAGGUGUCACAAAAAAGUGAUACCUUAGCAGUAGUCUCCAACUUAUCAGUGGAUUUUAAUUUCACAAGUGCCUUUAUAGGUCGCCUCUAAUUUUAAAGUAUUUUCUAUAAAAGCAUGAUACAAAUGGAGGGUAAAACAUUGGUUAUGUUCCUUAUCUAUAUUUACAGAGUCUGCUAAAAAUAUGUGUACACAUGUAAGGAAGAGAAAAAGUUGUAAGUUAGCUGUGGUGGUGCACACAUCUUAAUCCCAGCGUUCUGGAGGCUGAAGCAGGAGGAUCAUUGCAAGUUGGAGACCAACCUGGGGUACAAAGGGAGCUGGAGACUAGCCUGAACUGCAUAGUGAGACCUUGUCUCAAAAAGACAAAAGGCCAAACAACAACAAAAAGAACCCUUGGUGAGAUUCAAGCUAGCUUUGGAAACACUUUGUAGCCCAGGCUGGUCUCAGAUUUGCAACAAUCUGCCUACUUAAACUUCCUGACUGCUGGGAUUACAGAAGUGUGCCAGCAGCUCUAAGAGGCAGAUUCUUUAAAAAAAAAAAAAAAAUUGUUCCAAAAGCUGCACCUGGUGCCAACUACCUAUGGCCCCAGCUGCUUUGGAGGCUGAGGCAGAACUAUUUGAUGGCAGGAGUUUGAGACCAGCUUGGGAAACAUAGCAGGACCUUUUAUGAAAAAUAAAGCAAAACAAAACAAGUCUACAAAAAAAACCCCACUUGGUUGAAUAUUUUAUUGAUAGUUAAUUUAUUGAGGCAUCAUAAGAUUAAUACGUUACCUACAAUUACAACAAGUACUCAAAGUGGUGCUUAUUAGUUUCCUGACAUUUAUUAGUAUAUUGAACUGCUGCAUGGGUCACCUUGGUCGCUAAGACUGCUGCUCAUGCAUUUUCAAUUUCUUCUCUAACGGCCAGCAGUGUAGUGUCCUGCGAUACAGGACAUCAUUUAGGGUCCUCCACAGAUAAAGUAUUAAAACACUGAUACAAGUUUUUCUAAAAUGUGUGUACCUUUUUUGGGCAGAUUUUCUCUGUAUAUAUUUAUUUCAAGGCUAAGCAUUACCGAGCAGGUAGAGGAAGAUCUUAUUGAUAUACAAUUACCUUAGGUAGGCAGACGGGCACUUAGAGAAAAUCUUUUAUUCUUGGUGAAUUGAUAAGUCUUCCUGGGCAAUUAGGAAAGAUUCUGGAGGAGCAGGGAUAACACCCUUAUAUGUGAGAGUCAUAGUUACUGAGACACAGGCGAAGAAGGAUGAGUCCAGGUGGGGAUGUAUUCCCUCAAUUUAGGAUCAGCCACUCCUCCAGCUCAGGGCUGGAGACAGCCAUCAACAUAGGUCAGUGCCAAAAGCCAAGUGUAGUAGUGCACCCCUGGAGUCCAACCACUGGGGGGGACUGAGGCAGGAGGAUUGCCACAAGUUUGAGGCCAGCCUGGAGUACAUGGUGAAUUCAAACCCAGCCUGAACUAUGUAGUGAGACUGUUUCAACACACAUGCAAACAUUGGUCAGUCACAUUAUUUUCCUUAACAACUUCAUAUUUUUGGCAAAUUUCUGUAAACUUAUCCUUGAAUUCUGAAACCACACUUAGUCCUUGGUCAACUUCCUGUUGACAUUCUUGAAAUGAAAAUCUAGUCAGUAUAGACUGUGUCAAAUAUACUAAAUAUAUUUGUCAUACUGAACAGUUUCAGUACAUUCUCCAUUUACAAUUGUAUGGAAUUUAAAGGGUAAGGAAGAUUUUGCCAAGGGAUAGGUGUUUUCUUCUGUUUUUUCUCCUUAGUCAAAGGCCCCUAGGCUGCAAUACAACUCUGGAAUCUAACCUCAUAUAGUGAGAGUACAGUGGUCAGGCACUCCUCCUUAUUGCCAUGUUAUCUAGCAAGUAGAGGCCUAAGAAGGCAGAGUAGGGUGUGGAAAACAGUUCAUCCUGACUAAAAAGUUAUCUUUAUCCAUGCCAGGGACAGGGUAUAUGACUCAUCUUGGGUUGGGCCAGGAGACACCACUGAGGAGGGUGGAGGUUGGGUGUGCUAGAGAUGUGUAUUACUUGGUUAUGGUUCAUGGGUUCUUUCUAUCACCAACUUUGGUGUUUUUGUUGUUUGGUUUCUUGGUUUUGUUUGUUUUUUAUGUAGUUCAGGCUGAAUUUGGACUCUUUAUGUAGCCCAGAUUGACCUCAAACUUGUGGUAAUCUUCCUGCCUCAGCCCCUGGGAUUACAGGUAUACACCACCACACUUGGCUAUUUAUUUUUAUUCUUUUGACUUAUGAUAUUUAAGCAUUUAGCUAUUUAUAAAUGAUGUUUCAUUCUUAAAAACUUGAUAAUAAAAUUCAAACCUACAGCCAGGUGAGGUGGCACACAUCUGUAAUCCCAGCACUUGGGAGGCCAAGGCAGGAGGAUCAGCAUGAAUUUAAGGUCAGCCUGGGCUACAUAAUAGGACCCUGCCUCAAAACAAAAUAUUCCAACCUGCACAAAGGUGGAGAGAGAACGUAAUGAAUCAUCAGAUACUUACCAAUUGUGGUAAAUGUCACUUAUGGAUAAUAUUUCAGCUAACACCUGUAUUGACUCCCAUAAAUCUAUGUUCUUAUUUUGUGAUGUCCAUAAAGCAUUUUUAUUCUUUCACAAAUUGUAAAAGGGUGUUUAUUUGUAUUGGAAUCCUGUUUGUUCAUAAAUAUUCAUAUUUGGAUAUUUUCACUAAUAACAAUUUGUUUUUUCUCUUUUUUUGGUGCUGAGGAUCAAAUUCAUGACCUUGCUGGGUGUGGUGGCACACUCCUGUAAUCCUAGCACUCAGGAGACUGAGGGAGGUGAAUUGUUAAAAGUUCAAGACCAGGCUGGACUACAAAGUGAGCCCGAAGACAGCCUGAACCAAAUAGUGAGACCCUGUCUCAAAAAAAGACAAGACAGAAAAACAAAACAAAAAACUCAUGACCUCGUACUUGCCCAAGCAAAGGCUGUGCCACUGAGCUAUAUCUUUGGGCCUAACAAAAAUGAUUGAGUAAAGUACAAAGAAUAAGAUGUACUUACAUUUGGGGCUGGGGAUUUAGCUCAGCGGCAUAUGCACCUGCCUUGCAAGUGUGUGGUUGUGAGUUCGAUCCCUGGUACCAAUAAAAAAGAAAAAGACCAAAAAAAAAGAUGUACUUACAUUCCUAUUUUUCUUCUUCUGGUUCGAGGGGUUAAAUCCAGGGCCUUUUGCAUGUUAGGCAAUUGCUUUUGAGCUAUAGCCACAGCUCUUCUUUUGAAUUUUAUUUUGAGACAGUUUUGCUUAAUUGCCCACCCUGGCCUUGAGCUUGAAAGCCUUCUACCUCAUCCUCCAGAGUAGUUUGUAAUACAGUAUGCAUUGCCAUACCCAUCAGUGGUUUUUUUGGUUGGUUGGUUGGUUGGUUUUGGUAUUGGGGGUUGAACUCAUGACCUUGCAGCUGCCAGGCAGGCACUUAUGCCACUGAGCUAUAUCCCCAGUCCAUUUUUGGGUUUUUGAGACAUGCUCUGUCUUUGUAGUUCAGGCUGGCCUUGAGCUCACUGCAGUCCUCCUGUCUCAGACUCCUGAGUGCUGGGUUUACAGAGUACUGAAUAAUACACACUUUUUAAAAUAUGGAUGAAGAACCUGAAAGAACUAAGCGAUGGGAAGGAGGCUAUGAGAGAACUUGGGAAAUUCUUAAAGAAGAUGAAUCUGGCUCACUUAAAGCUACCAUAGAAGACAUUCUUUUCAAGGCAAAAAGAAAAAGGCCGAGUAUUUGAACACCAUGGACAAGUUCGCCUUGGAAUGAUGCGCCACCUUUAUGUGGUGAUAGACGGACUGCGGACAAUGGAGGACCAAGAUUUAAAGCCUAAUAGACUGACAUGUACAUUAAAGGUACAGAAAGAUCACUUAAAGUCAUUUACAUGUGUCCCAAAUGCAGGAGGGACAGUGGAUUCUGGAAAAAAGUGCAGGAAAUUUUUUUCUAGUUGAUAUAAGUGACAGCUAAGAGAUAUGCUACAAGGAAAUAGUACAAGGAAAUAAUAAGCCUUACCUGCUAACUAUGUAAGUCUGAUUUCCGCCUUUCUGUCCCAAGUCAGGGUCUUGUUUUGUCACUUGUCCCUUUCCUUCACUGAAUCUUCAUUCUCCGUUCACUUCCUUGAAUCUGUCUUCUCAGCUUACAGACAUAUCCACAGUCGUCCUAACUCAUGAAG